rnacentral:ncRNA from 1 species
UUUUCCUCAAGAUAGCUGGAGCCUCCGAACAAGUUCUAUCGAGUAAAGCCAAUGAUUAGAGGCAUUAGUGGGCACAACACCCUCGACCUAUUCUCAAACUUUAAAUAGGUAGGACGACGCAACUACUUUGUUGAGCCAUGCUACGGAAUUGAGAGCUCCAAGUACACCAUUUGUUGUAAGCAAAACUGGCGAUGCGGGAUGAAUCG